AGCUUCAGCCGACCCCUGUCGGCUUCACGCGUCCCCUCACGGCUUCGUCCGCCCCAGCCCGGAGCCCUGAGGGGAGCCAUGGGCCGUCCGACCUACUUUGGUAUCUGCUCUGCCUCUGUGGGGCCUCGCUGGCUUCACGGAGCUCAGUAAAAACAAAAAAAGUCGAUACACAGUCAGACACGAAGGGAAUGGUUUAAUUCUUCUGUACAGGUAGGACAACUGGAUGGACUGCAGUAAGGAAACAGAGACAAGUGUGCCUGUGAGCUGCUGUGAGGGAGAAGAAGAGAACUCAGGGAGUUUUCUGUCAGAGACAGAAACUGUCAUGAUUAUAAACUUCACUGUAAAUGUGAAGUUCAAAGGUAAUGAAAUAAAAACUGGUUUGUGAUCCCAGUUUCCGUUCCACAAAGGGAUUUCUGUGUUCUGAGUUGUCAAGGGCAGACAGUUACCCCACAUGGGAUCCCUUCCUUGCUCCUCUCACAUCACAGCCUAUUGUAUCCCAUCAAUGUAUUUUGAAUGGUUUCACAGGAUAUUUUCUAUUAGGACAGGGAAAAUCUCAUCAAGAAGAUAUCACUCCAUGAGGAGUCACAACACCUCCAGCUCAUAUCCCAAAACUCUGGACAAAGCAUUUGCACAGCAGCCACAUUGCCAUUUUCACCCUCCACAAGUGUUGUGAUGUUCUUUUUUUGGUUCUUUGUGUCUUCUUUACAUCUAAGUUAGAGGACAAAACCAUUUACAAAUGUUCCAAAUGCAACAUUAUGUUUUCCUUUAUUGUUUUUUUUUUUUUCUUUCCAUCUUCAGUUCUGGUGCUGCUGAGGGUGGUAAGUUCCUGACUCACAUUUCCACAGCAGCAUUUUUGUUGUUCUCAUGCAGUGCAAUCAAAUAGCCCUGUCCUGAAUAAAUUCCUUGUUUCUGCUUCAUCUAUGGAUUUUCUGUAGAGAAAAUCAUCCAUUUCCAAGCCAAGCUCUAUUCAAAAUGCAACUGAGAAAGGAUGUAACAACUCACUGCUGCUCACUUUGCUUCUCUGCCUGCUCUUCACUGCCCUGUUUUGUGAAGUUUAGCUUUCAUCUCCUCUAGGCUUGAGAGAAAGCGAGGCAUUAGGAAGCCAAGGAAAUUACUGUACUUGCCAAUACACUCUUACAAGAGGAGAGGCAAAUAUUGAGAGUGAACUCCCAGUCCCUUCAGCAUUAGAAUGGAGACAGGUGCUUGUUGUUGGCUGCAGCCAUGCCAAAGUUAUCUCAUGGUUAUGGAAGCAAGGGCAGUCCAUACCAGCUGUCAUACAAUCACAGAAACACAGAAUCCCAGGGUCCCUGAGGCUGGAAAAUCCCUGCCAGCCCAUGGAGUCCCA